rfam:Hydnomerulius pinastri MD-312 unplaced genomic scaffold scaffold_9, whole genome shotgun sequence.
GGCCGGCUAGCUCAGUUGGUUAGAGCGUCGUGCUAAUACUUGACCUGGGCGGUUGCUUGGCAACACGUGACUGCCUUGGGCCACGUCCUACGCGAAGGUCCUGGGUUCGACCCCCAUGCUGGCCA